AUGGUGGUUCCCUUGAGUUCUUGGAUUCUUGGUCUCUAUUUGCCAUUCUCCCUUCAAAUAUUUUACAUGUCCAGUGAUUGCUAUUUCGUGAAUGUUCCAAAGUGGAUUGCACCAACACUCAACAACCUUACUUACCUGGACAUUAAUUUAACCGAACUAACGGAGAAGGGUCUACUCGCUGUUGGGGAGCUCCCAGCCUUACUUUGCCUAGAACUGUGGUUGAAGACAACACCAAAAGAUAGGCUAAUUAUAGUUCAAGACAUGGGAUUCCCAAGUCUGAGGGAGUUCGGCAUCAGCGGGGAAGCCGAGGCAUACGUAACGUUCAUGAAAGGCGCUAUGCCCAGGCUUGAGAAGCUUGGUAUUCCAUGCCUUGUGUCAGUGGCAGCAACCUAUGGCUUCUACAUAGGCAUUGAGCAUCUCACUUGUCUCAAACAAGUAAUAGCGGUGCUUGGCACAGAUGGCUGCGCACCUCCCGAGAGCAAGGCUGCAGCUGCUGCGAUCAGGAACGAAGCAGGGGUCAACCUCAACCAUCCUACAAUUACUAUUUUUGGGGAACCAAGAGACUCACAGUUACCAGGAAAAAUGCAAGGAUGA
rnacentral:rRNA from 1 species